rnacentral:rRNA from 1 species
UACGUAGGGACCAAGCGUUGUUCGGAUUUACUGGGCGUAAAGGGCGCGUAGGCGGCAAUUCAAGUCAUCUGUGAAAUCUCCGGGCUUAACUCGGAACGGUCAGAUGAUACUGCUUUGCUAGAGUGCGGAAGGGGCAAUCGGAAUUCUUGGUGUAGCGGUGAAAUGCGUAGAUAUCAAGAGGAACACCUGUGGCGAAAGCGGCGCACUGGACCACAACUGACGCUGAGGCGCGAAAGCUAGGGGAGCAAACAGG